CCUCUAUUGGAUUGGCAGUAGCAUACUUGAACCAAACCGUGUUCGUCGCCAAUGCUAGUUUAAAUAUUGGAUACAAUGUUGCCUUUGCUUACACGUACUGUUGCUCUUUGAAUAUGAAGUUGUUCGAGCCCAUGUCUCCCGCUGAUUGGGUCCCCUUUAGAAAAUAUGCGCCACGCUUCAACUGUUUUGGCCUAUUGGGUGGAAUCCGGUCUCUCAGCCCCGCAGAAGAUGCUUGGUGCAGCAACGGCAAGACCGUGCCUGACUACAUGUACGAGGACAGAUGGAGAAAUUAUAAAACCAAAAUCGCAUGCCAAAGCACAUUUCUCGCAAUCCCUUUUGCUGAUAAUGAAAUGAGGGUGGUUCACGUGCCAGGAGCGGAAAUCCCAAAUGGAAUGAUUAAGCAAAUGAACAAUGCCAGCGCCACUUAUUUCACGUCGGAGCCUGGCGCAAAUGUUUGCAUGUUUAUUUGCACGCCGAAAUGAGCACUGGCAGAAAAAUACACGACUUGUUCAUUUCUUUUUUUGCUUUCAAUACAUAUUGAUAAAUAUUUUUCAAUGGGGUGGUGGUAAUGAAUGAUAAGUUGCAAUUUACUUACUAAAAUUAGAGAGUUUUUGUAUUUUAUCUAUC